rnacentral:rRNA from 1 species
GACGAACGCUGGCGGCGUGCCUAAUACAUGCAAGUAGAACGCUGAAGGAGGAGCUUGCUCUUCUGGAUGAGUUGCGAACGGGUGAGUAACGCGUAGGUAACCUGCCUGGUAGCGGGGGAUAACUAUUGGAAACGAUAGCUAAUACCGCAUAACAGUAGAUGUUGCAUGACAUUUGCUUAAAAGGUGCAAUUGCACCACUACCAGAUGGACCUGCGUUGUAUUAGCUAGUUGGUGGGGUAACGGCUCACCAAGGCGACGAUACAUAGCCGACCUGAGAGGGUGAUCGGCCACACUGGGACUGAGACACGGCCCAGACUCCUACGGGAGGCAGCAGUAGGGAAUCUUCGGCAAUGGACGGAAGUCUGACCGAGCAACGCCGCGUGAGUGAAGAAGGUUGUCGGAUCGUAAAGCUCUGUUGUAAGAGAAGAACGAGUGUGAGAGUGGAAAGUUCACACUGUGACGGUAUCUGACCAGAAAGGGACGGCUAACUACGUG